rnacentral:misc_RNA from 1 species
AAGUCGUAACAAGGUAACCGUAGGUGAACCUGCGGUUGGAUCAUUAAAAACACUUCCGGGUUGCAAAUUCAAGUAGCAGUCCGUUUCGUAAUUUUUUAUGAAAGAAGCGGCCCCCGCAAGGAGGCUACUCAACUUACCUUUUGUGAACUGUUCCCGUCUCUGGUGGGUGGGCAGCCUCUUUUGAGUCUGCCUGUCAGCGCGAGUGCGGAGCACUCGGAGCCGUGGACAACCCACCGCCCCUCGGCAUUGCCGAGGAUAUUUCUUUUACCUUUUUUCGUAAUGUACUUUCGAGUGCUACAUGUCUAACACUUACCUGUAUUAGAAUACAAAAACAACUUUUGGCAACGGAUCUCUUGGCUCUC